rnacentral:ncRNA from 2 species
ACCAUUAUAGAACGUAUUGGUGCAAAUGGCAUUUGUCAUUUGCUUAAAAGGGAAAUCGGUGCAAUUCCGAUGCUGUCCCGCAACUGUAAAUGGGGAGUCUGUACAGCAUGCCACUGUAGUUUAACUAUGGGAAGGCGUAUAGAUGAUGAACCUAAGCCAGGAUACCUGCCAGUAUGUGUUUUUUGAC